UGGCGGCAGGCCUAACACAUGCAAGUCGAGCGGUAACAUUUCUAGCUUGCUAGAAGAUGACGAGCGGCGGACGGGUGAGUAACGCGUAGAAAUCUACCUAGUAGUGGGGGAUAGCCCAGAGAAAUUUGGAUUAAUAUCGCAUACGCCCUACGGGGGAAAGCGGGGGAUCUUCGGACCUCGUGCUAUUAGAUGAGUCUGCGUCGGAUUAGCUUGUUGGUGAGGUAAUGGCUCACCAAGGCGACGAUCCGUAGCUGGUCUGAGAGGAUGACCAGCCACACUGGAACUGAGACACGGUCCAGACUCCUACGGGAGGCAGCAGUGGGGAAUAUUGCACAAUGGGCGCAAGCCUGAUGCAGCCAUGCCGCGUGUGUGAAGAAGGCCUUAGGGUUGUAAAGCACUUUCAGCAGUGAGGAAAGGGGUGUCGUUAAUAGCGCCAUCCUGUGACGUUAACUGCAGAAGAAGGACCGGCUAACUCCGUG
rnacentral:rRNA from 1 species